UACGUAGGGUGCGAGCGUUAAUCGGAAUUACUGGGCGUAAAGCGUGCGCAGGCGGUCUGUUAAGACCGAUGUGAAAUCCCCGGGCUCAACCUGGGAACUGCAUUGGUGACUGGCAGGCUAGAGUAUGGCAGAGGGGGGUAGAAUUCCACGUGUAGCAGUGAAAUGCGUAGAGAUGUGGAGGAAUACCGAUGGCGAAGGCAGCCCCCUGGGCCAAUACUGACGCUCAUGCACGAAAGCGUGGGGAGCAAACAGG
rnacentral:rRNA from 1 species